AUACAUGAGCAAAAUCUCAACUUUAUUAGAAGAGACGCAUUUAUUUAGAUAAAAAGCCAAUGCAUGCUUUUACAGUAUGAAAAUUGGUGAUUUAUAAUAACUUAGCAAAUCGCAAAGUGAAAACAGGCGAUAAAUCAUUCAAGUUUCUGACCUAUCAGCUUUCGACGGUAUGGUAUUGGCUUACCGUGGCAGUGACGGUUAACGGGGGAUUAGGGUUCGAUUCCGGAGAGGGAGCCUGAGAAACGGCUACCACAUCUAAGGAAGGCAGCAGGCGCGCAAAUUACCCAAUUCUAACAGUUUGAGAGAGGUAGUAACAAGAAAUAACAAUACAAGGCAGUUAAAAUGCUUUGUAAUUGGAAUGAUAGAAAUUUAAACCCUUUUUAAAGUAUCAAUUGGAGGGCAAGUCUGGUGCCAGCAGCCGCGGUAAUUCCAGCUCCAAUAGCGUAUAUUAAAAUUGUUGCAGUUAAAAAGCUCGUAGUUGAAGUUCUGCUAAAAGUAACCGGUCUGCUUUGAAUAAAAGUGGUAUCUUGGUAUGUAUUUAGCAAUGAUGUCCUUUGAAGUGUUUUUUACUUUAUUGUAAUAAAGCAUAUUCAGGACUUUUACUUUGAGAAAAUUAGAGUGUUUCUAGCAGGCCAACGCUUUGAAUACUGCAGCAUGGGAAUAAUAAGA
rnacentral:rRNA from 1 species